rnacentral:lncRNA from 1 species
GGCCUCUAAUUUCUUUGACCCGAGACUUUUAGGUUGCUUAUUGCUGGCCAGAAAUGCAAAAAUCUUUAAGAGUAGCAUCCAGUCAUGGGAACUUGUCAUGGAAGGGCACUUUCACAAGCAACCAAGGUUACUCACCCACUUGCAGUUGGAGAAUCGAUAACAACUAGGAACACCUGGGAUUCAGCGCCAACCGCAUCCUAG